GGCAUAUCACGUGCUAGGUAGUGAACUAAUGUGACUCUCAAGCUCAUCACCCAUAUAAUUGUUAGAUUCAUUAGAACUGCACUGUAACACACACAUGAAUUGUAACACGCGCAUGCACACACACACACACACACACACACACACACUGAUUUUGGCUUUACUGGGACUCAAAAAAAUCAGACUGUAUUUACAAGCAUUUGGAUCCACUCUGUGGAGUAGAAAGAGAAUGGUCUGAAUAGCCAAGGAGUUUUUAACUUUGAUUUUCAGCUUUUCUGUGUGGUUUUACCUGUGUUACCAAACAUCUCUGAUUAUGUUUCUUCAUUUUAAAAAAUUGGGUAUCUUGGAGCUGGAGAGAUGGCUGAGCACUGACUUCUCUACCCUCUGGUUUCAAUUCCCAGCAACCACACGGUGGCUCACAACCAUCUGUAAUGUAAUCCAAUGUUCUCUUCUGGUGUGUCUGAAGACAGCGACAGUGUACUCACAUACAUAAAAUAAAUAAAUCUUUAGAAAAAAGUGGAUAUUCUAAGUACCAACUCGAGGGUUUUCUGUAUGAUAGAAAUGUUACUAAAUACAUUAAUAUUUCUUCUCAUGAACUACUGGGUCUGAAGAACUAAAUCUGGAGCAUUUAUAAUGUAGGGGUAGAAGUUGGAGAUAGUACAAUGACUAGAUCAAAAAAAAAAAAAAAAGAGUGACCAUGCUAUGCAAUAAAACUCCCCUUCCUUUCCAACUGUGGCUUUGUACUUGUUGACCUUUGUGCCCCCAUCCUGCUCCAUUUACCCGAGGUCACCACCUUCAUCUAUGUUAAUAGAUAUUUGUCAACUUCCUUUUUUAGAGUCCACAUAUAAAUGAAAGCAUGUGGUGUUUACCUUUCUUUGCCUGACCUAUUUGUCUUAGCAUAAUGCUAUCCAGUUCCAUACUGGAUAGUGUUGCAUGUGAUGGUUUCUGUCUUCUUUAGAGCUGAAUUGUAUUCCACUGUGGUUAUACAACAAGACUUUUAUAUCCAUUCAUGCACCAAUGGGCAGUUAGUUUGUUGGCCUAUUUGUGUAUAACUAGUCUUGUUUUGCCACUGUUGAAUAUGCAUAUAUAUCAUAACAACACAUUGUAUCACAUGGAUAUAUAGAGUUAUUGCCUGUCAAUUACCACAAAAAGGGGAGAAAUGUAUGAAAAGAAAUUCUAUGAAGAUCAUGUAGUGAGUGCUUGCAGUGUUUUCUGUGAGAAAAAUCUGAGAGGACUGAGCUAGGAAACAAGAUACAGCAACCUGGGGAGCUGUCUUGCAUGUUAGGUUGUUAGCUUUUCCAGUGGCCUUCCUUGCCACCACCAGAUGAGGAAUAGUGUGGAUUCUGUCAGUGCAAAAACUGCUGCUCUUACCAACUGCCCUAUCCCAGAGAUCACUUCAACAUACUGUGUGUGCUGUGGCUUGUCCCGAAGCUCCCUCCUAGUGUCCAGGUGUUUCUGGAUGCCACAAGCCAUGAGUCAGUCUACUAGCAUUAGAAAGUUCCAGAAAAGGGGGUUGGGAAUGUGUAGUUCUCUUCAGUGGAGGGAGGUACAGCAUACAAACUGAGUGGACAGCAUUGCCACCUGGAAUCUACCUUUCUACUACUUGAGGAGAGACAGAAGCUCGGAUACCCCUUCUUUCUAGUACCUCAUUCUUAUAGAAAUUCCAAAAUUCUUUUCAAAAAACGAUCUUACCCUGCACACACACCCUGCACCACUCUCUCCUCCUUUUUCCCUUCCACUCUUCUCUCUUCGCUUGGACUCCACUCCCUCCCAUCCACUGAUUCUUUCACACCAUUAGAAGAGACUUUAUUUGAAUCUCUGGGAGCCCUGUGAAAUUCCCUCCCAACAGACAGAGAGCUUAAGAGAGUGUUAAAAGGGACUAGCCUUGUCUAUCCCUGAGGAAGAUUUAUAUCUAUUCCUCAGAAGGAAAGAGUAGGAGCCUUGCUCUCCCCCAUGGAUAAAUAACCUAAACCAGUCAUUUCAAAGCACCAGCCACCUCAUCUCUUCAGCUUCAGAAGAGGCCCUGCCAUCUGUCACAGCCCCUCUGCCCUCCAGGCUGCAGAAGAGUGAAAGGGGUGUGAAUAGUCAUGUGUCACCACAGGCCAAGGCAGCUACAGCAGAUGGUUGGAGGUGGGAGGUUACCAGGGACCAGGGAAGAGAUAUAUUUCCAUACAUUUGGCCACAAGACGAUUUCUGCUUGUCAGAUGUUCGUAUAAGCAUAUGUACUCAGGGACUAUCUUAAGGACUCUUAGUUGUCAGGGACACAGUGUUCAAAAUCAGCUUUCUGCAGAGAUGCUUCAUUACCUCAUCCUAAUAACAACGCCUCCUGACCCAUGCCCUUGGCCUUAGAGAGGCACAUCACGUUGGACUCCUCAGAUCACAUGCUAUAUUUUCCAGCACAACCGUUUCUUCUCCUCACCUGCAGUGUGUGUGUGUGUGUGUG
rnacentral:lncRNA from 1 species